rnacentral:rRNA from 1 species
GAUGAACGCUGGCGGCGUGCUUAACACAUGCAAGUCGAACGAUGAAGCCCAGCUUGCUGGGUGGAUUAGUGGCGAACGGGUGAGUAACACGUGAGUAACCUGCCCUUGACUCUGGGAUAAGCGCUGGAAACGGCGUCUAAUACCGGAUACGAGCUUCCACCGCAUGGUGAGUUGCUGGAAAGAAUUUCGGUCAAGGAUGGACUCGCGGCCUAUCAGGUAGUUGGUGAGGUAACGGCUCACCAAGCCGACGACGGGUAGCCGGCCUGAGAGGGUGGCCGGCCACACUGGGACUGAGACACGGCCCAGACUCCUACGGGAGGCAGCAGUGGGGAAUAUUGCACAAUGGGCGCAAGCCUGAUGCAGCAACGCCGCGUGAGGGACGAAGGCCUUCGGGUCGUAAACCUCUUUUAGCAGGGAAGAAGCGAAAGUGACGGUACCUGCAGAAAAAGCACCGGCUAACUACGUG